rnacentral:rRNA from 1 species
GACAGAGGUCCCAAGCGUUAGGCGGAAUCACUGGGCUUAAAGCGUGUGUAGGCGGAUGCCCAAGUACCUUGUGAAAUCCCACGGCUCACCCGUGGAACUGCUUGGUAUACUGGGUGUCUUGAGCCACUUAGGGGCUACCGGAACAAAUGGUGGAGCGGUGAAAUGCGUAGAUAUCAUUUGGAACGCCAAUGGUGAAAACAGGUAGCUGGGAGUGUGCUGACGCUGAGACACGAAAGCCAGGGGAGCGAACGGG